rnacentral:tRNA from 1 species
UCCCUGGUGGUCCAGUGGUUAGGACUCUGUGCUUUCACUGCCGUGAUCCAGGUUCAGUUCCUGGUUGGGGAA